GAUGAACGCUGGCGGCGUGCCUAAUACAUGCAAGUCGAGCGAACAGACGAGGAGCUUGCUCCUCUGACGUUAGCGGCGGACGGGUGAGUAACACGUGGAUAACCUACCUAUAAGACUGGGAUAACUUCGGGAAACCGGAGCUAAUACCGGAUAAUAUAUUGAACCGCAUUGUUCAAUAGUGAAAGACGGUUUUGCUGUCACUUAUAGAUGGAUCCGCGCCGCAUUAGCUAGUUGGUAAGGUAACGGCUUACCAAGGCAACGAUGCGUAGCCGACCUGAGAGGGUGAUCGGCCACACUGGAACUGAGACACGGUCCAGACUCCUACGGGAGGCAGCAGUAGGGAAUCUUCCGCAAUGGGCGAAAGCCUUACGGAGCAACGCCGCGUGAGUGAUGAAGGUCUUCGGAUCGUAAAACUCUGUUAUUAGGGAAGAACAAAUGUGUAAGUAACUAUGCACGUCUUGACGGUACCUAAUCAGAAAGCCACGGCUAACUACGUG
rnacentral:rRNA from 1 species